rnacentral:rRNA from 1 species
UGCUGUUUUGACGUUACCGACAGAAUAAGCACCGGCUAACUCUGUGCCAGCAGCCGCGGUAAUACAGAGGGUGCAAGCGUUAAUCGGAAUUACUGGGCGUAAAGCGCACGCAGGCGGUCUGUCAAGUCGGAUGUGAAAUCCCCGGGCUCAACCUGGGAACUGCGUUCUGAACUGGGUGACUAGAGUGUGUCAGAGGGAGGUAGAAUUCCACGUGUAGCAGUGAAAUGCGUAGAGAUGUGGAGGAAUACCGAUGGCGAAGGCAGCCAUCUGGCCUAAUACUGACGCUGAGGUACGAAAGCAUGGGGAGCAAACAGGAUUAGAUACCCUGGUAGUCCAUGCCGUAAGCGAUGAGUGUUCGUCCUUGGUCUGCCUGCCUACUAGGUAGGAUUAGGAUCAGGGGCCCAGCUAACGCGUGAAACACUCCGCCUGGGGAGUACGGUCGCAAGACUGAAACUCAAAGGAAUUGACGGGGGCCUGCACAAGCGGUGGAGCAUGUGGUUUAAUUCGAUGCAAC